rnacentral:misc_RNA from 1 species
GCUACGUCAUCAUUUAAGAAUAAAAAAAGUUUAAAAGGAAAGAGGAGAUACUAUGCACAAAGUUAAACGCACUGACAGGCAAUAAUUGUAAGUGUAAUACUUAUGAGGUCCUAAAGACCAACAAAAGUUGCUACUGCUUGGGGCACAUUUGACAUAGAGUUAUAUGGGGUUCUAUGUGAUGUACGACGCGCCUUUGACAGCAUUGAAAAACUAAGGCUGAUGAGAGUUAUGCCCUUGAUCUUGAUGCACGUUUGAAGGCGAUGUAACUACUGGUAUGUCUAAGCUGGUCCUUUCUGUUUCAGAUGCUACCUCUCUUACAUCAGCUAUUCUGGACUCUGUUGGUUGAAUAUCACUCCACUCACCAUUUUCAAUUGACUGAUGGUUCGUUUGAUCUACUGUUAGAUCAACUACAUUCUCUGGAGGCACAUGAUCGAUGGCCCUCGAAACGCUUAAACAUGCUUUGUCCACAUUCUCUUCUGAUAAAUCCACAUGCUUGGUUUGUGGUAAGUUAUCAAUACUACUUGAGCAAGACUCUGUCUUCUCAAACACUUGAUUCAUAUCUACAUGCUGCCUUGUUAAUUGUGCUUGUAACAUAUUCACAUAUGCCAGCAGUUCUUGCUUUUCCUUUGCAGUAGCAGACUCUCUUUGUACAGCUUCUCUUAUUCUAGCUUCCGCAUCAGCCUCUGCUACUCUGACCUUUUCUUCUGCCCGAACAACAGCCCCUUCCAGUAUUACUGCCUGUUCUCUAGCUUUUGCGAGCUCAGAACGCCAUAAAUGUGCUUCUUGAAUUGCCGAAUCUCUAUGCUUUAUCAGUUGAUCCAUUUCCUUACUCAGGGUCAUAAACUUCUCUUCGAACUCCCUCAGCUUUGACUUUGAUGAAACCAGUUGCUUUUCUGAAUCUGCCUUUAAGCGCUCAACCUCAGCACAAGCAAUUUUCCUUUGUUCAUUCAUAGUUUGAGCUGCAGAUGCAGCAGCUUCUGCAGCUUCAGCGGUUUCAGAUAGUUGAUCUGCUAACUCUUUAAUUGUCGAAUCCCUAGCACGUAUUUCCCUGGCCAGAUUUUGCAAUUCUUCAUCCUUAACUCUCAGUGUCUCCUUCAUUAUUGAUAGGUCAUCCAUAGGGCUAUCAGGUGUACGGUUCAACAUUGCUUCUAAAGCAUUUCUCAUUGCAAUCUGCAUUGCUGCCUCGAUUUCCUUCGAAGCUUCAAGAGCAGUUGAAUUAGCUGCCGCGACAACAGUGGCCACUGUUCCCAAUUUUGCUGACCCAU